rnacentral:rRNA from 1 species
UAUUAUUCACAAGUGUGGAGACGCUGAUCCAGCUAUCCCGCGUGUGCGAUGAAGGCCUUCGGGUUGUAAUGCACUUUUGGCAGGGAAGAAAAGGUUCUGGCUAAUACCCGGAACUGAAGACGGUAGCUGAGGAAUAAUCACCGGCUAACUACGUGCCAGCAGCCGCGGUAAUACGUAGGGUGCAAGCGUUAAGAGGAAUUACUGGGCGUAAAGCGAGCGCCGGCGGUUCGGAAAGAAGGAUGUAGAUGCCCAGGGCUCAACCUUGGAACUGCAUUUUUAACUGCCGAGUUAGAGUAUGACAGCGGGGGGUAGAAUACCUCAUGUAGCAGUGAAAUGCGUAGAUAUGUGGAGGAAUACCGAUGACGAAGGCAGCCCCCUGGGAUAAUACUGACGCUCAGACACGAAAGCGUGGGGAGCAAACAGG